rnacentral:rRNA from 1 species
UCAGCAUACCGCGGUUAUACAAUAAAUAUUAAUUAAUAGUUUUGGUUUAGAAAAGUUAAAUAAUGUUUUAAUUUAUGAUUUUAUUUUUUAGGUGAAAUUUAAAAUUUUUUUAAUUUAUUUAUGAUUCUUUGAAAUUUAGAUUUUAAACUAGGAUUAGAUACCCUAUUAUUUUUAAUAUAAAAAUUUACCUAGGUAUUAAUAGUUUUGUUCUUUAAACCUAAAGAAUUUGGCGGUGUUUUAGUCUAUUCAGAGGAACUUGUUUCGUGAUCGAUAAUCCUCGUUUUAUCUUUCUUUAUCUUGUAAUCAGUAUGUAUACCGCCGUUAUAAGUUUAUUUUUUUAGGAUAUUUACUAUAUAUUUUAUUUUAUUAUAUUUCA